rnacentral:rRNA from 1 species
CCUACGGGAGGCAGCAGUGAGGAAUAUUGGUCAAUGGACGGAAGUCUGAACCAGCCAUGCCGCGUGCAGGAAGACGGCUCUAUGAGUUGUAAACUGCUUUUGUACAAGGGUAAACCUGAAUACGUGUAUUCAGCUGAAAGUACUGUACGAAUAAGGAUCGGCUAACUCCGUGCCAGCAGCCGCGGUAAUACGGAGUAUCCAAGCGUUAUCCGGAUUUAUUGGGUUUAAAGGGUGCGUAGGCGGAUUGAUAAGUUAGAUGUGAAAUGUCCGAGCUUAACUCGGGAACUGCCUCUAAUACUGUUGGUCUAGAGAGUAGAUGCGGUAGGCGGAAUGUAUGGUGUAGCGGUGAAAUGCUUAGAGAUCAUACAGAACACCGAUUGCGAAGGCAGCUUACCAAUCUAUAUCUGACGUUGAGGCACGAAAGCGUGGGGAGCAAACAGGAUUAGAUACCCCUGUAGUC